UAGAGUUUGAUCAUGGCUCAGAUUGAACGCUGGCGGCAGGCCUAACACAUGCAAGUCGAACGGUAACAGGAAUCAGCUUGCUGAUUUGCUGACGAGUGGCGGACGGGUGAGUAAUGUCUGGGAAACUGCCUGAUGGAGGGGGAUAACUACUGGAAACGGUAGCUAAUACCGCAUAACGUCGCAAGACCAAAGAGGGGGACCUUCGGGCCUCUUGCCAUCGGAUGUGCCCAGAUGGGAUUAGCUAGUAGGUGGGGUAACGGCUCACCUAGGCGACGAUCCCUAGCUGGUCUGAGAGGAUGACCAGCCACACUGGAACUGAGACACGGUCCAGACUCCUACGGGAGGCAGCAGUGGGGAAUAUUGCACAAUGGGCGCAAGCCUGAUGCAGCCAUGCCGCGUGUAUGAAGAAGGCCUUCGGGUUGUAAAGACUUUCAGCGGGGAGGAAGGGAGUAAAGUUAAUACCUUUGCUCAUUGACGUUACCCGCAGAAGAAGCACCGGCUAACUCCGUGCCAGCAGCCGCGGUAAUACA
rnacentral:rRNA from 1 species